rnacentral:rRNA from 1 species
CCUACGGGAGGCAGCAGUGGGGAAUAUUGCACAAUGGGGGAAACCCUGAUGCAGCGACGCCGCGUGAGUGAAGACGGUCUUCGGUAUGUAAAGCUCUAUUAGUAGGGAAGAAAAUUGCGGUACGUGAGUAAGCAAGCCAGGCUAACUAAGUGCCAACAGCCGCGGUAAUACGUCGGGGGCCAGCGUUAUCCGGAUUUUCUGGGUGUAAAGGGGGCGUAGGCGGCAGGGCAAGUCCGGAGUGAAAAGCGGGGGCUUAACCCGCGAACUGCCGUUGAAACUGUUCGUCUGGAGUGGAGGAGAGGUAAGCGGAAUGCCUAGUGUAGCGGUGAAAUGCGUAGAUAUUAGGAGGAACACCGGUGGCGAAGGCGGCUUACUGGACUGUAACUGACGCUGAGGCUCGAAAGCGUGGGGAGCAAACAGGAUUAGAUACCCGAGUAGUC